rnacentral:tRNA from 1 species
GGAGCUGUGCCCGAACGUUUAAGGACCACUUUGAUAGAGUGACUCAUGAGGGUUCAAGCCCCUCCGGCUCUU